GAUGAACGCUGGCGGCGUGCCUAAUACAUGCAAGUCGAGCGAACAGAUGAGGAGCUUGCUCCUCUGACGUUAGCGGCGGACGGGUGAGUAACACGUGGAUAACCUACCUAUAAGACUGGGAUAACUUCGGGAAACCGGAGCUAAUACCGGAUAAUAUAUUGAACCGCAUGGUUCAAUAGUGAAAGACGGUUUUGCUGUCACUUAUAGAUUGAUCCGCGCCGCAUUAGCUAGUUGGUAAGGUAACGGCUUACCAAGGCGACGAUGCGUAGCCGACCUGAGAGGGUGAUCGGCCACACUGGAACUGAGACACGGUCCAGACGACUAAGGGAGGCAGCAGUAGGGAAUCUGACGCAAUGGGCGAAAGCCUGACGGAGCAACGCCGCGUGAGUGAUGAAGGUCUUCGGAUCGUAAAAAUCUGUUAUUAGGGAAGAACAAAUGUGUAAGUAACUAUGCACGUCUUGACGGUACCUAAUCAGAAAGCCACGGCUAACUACGUG
rnacentral:rRNA from 1 species